GGUAGUACUGACUAUAUUAUGAAGAAUUGCCUGUGAAUUUUUAGUUUUAAUGAAAAUAUUAAGAUGUUAUUUUUAGACAAAAAGACCCUAUGAAGCUUUAUAACUUGCAACACCUCUACAUGUCCCAAGGUUAUUUUUUUGGGGUAAAAGGUAAUAAUGAUAUUACAGCAUUUAAGUGAUAAACAUCCAUAGGUGAAUUAAUAGUAAGCUCCUCUAGGGAUAACAGCAUAAUCUUAGC
rnacentral:rRNA from 1 species